ensembl:miRNA
UCUGGGGUCUUGGGCCAUCUGGUUGUGACAGCCCCGAUGGCCCAAGACCUCAGACC